rnacentral:lncRNA from 1 species
UGACGCUGGCUCCGCUGUGGUCUGUGACAAACAACUUCUUAUCUGGGAAAGUUGGCACAUGAUUUUUCAUCACCCUGUGAGAAAGUUCCACGCGGCAGCUUUGCAUUGGGGCUUGGGAUGCUUUAUUAAGGCUGGGAGGGGCACCCGAGAGGAAGAAGAAGAAAUAUCCAGGGACCUGAAUAAACUGUUGAAAGAAGAUUCUCGAGUUGCGUCUUCCUUGCGGGCAAGGGGUCGCGACAAGUGGUGCCGAGACCCGGGAACCAGAACUUUCAGCAGUCAGGGGUGGUGCACCGGUUAGUCCCAGGUAAGUGGGAUCCGCGAUCAAAGCGGGGUUAGUCCCUAGUAAGUGGGAUCCGCGACCAAAGCGGGACAGCUCCUCUGUAAUGAAAGAGAGAGCCUUACAUUUUAUUGCAGCUGCACUGUGUACUUUCGCU